CGGGGGGUAGGAUAGCGGCUAUUCCGCCUGGUUUGGGACCAGGAUGUCGGGAGUUCGAAUCUCCCCUUCCCGA
rnacentral:tRNA from 1 species